rnacentral:rRNA from 1 species
AUUGAACGCUGGCGGCAGGCCGAACACAUGCAAGUCGAGCGGAGCGGCGGACGGGUGAGUAAUGCCUAGGAAUCUGCCUGGUAGUGGGGGAUAACGGCCGGAAACGGGCGCUAAUACCGCAUACUAUCAGAUGAGCCUAGGUCGGAGUAGCUAGUUGGUGGGGUAAAGGCCUACCAAGGCGACGAUCCGUAACUGGUCUGAGAGGAUGAUCAGUCACACUGGAACUUAUGCACGGUCCAGACUCCUACGGGAGGCAGCAGUGGGGAAUAUUGGAAAAUGGUCGAAAGCCGGAUCCAGACAGGCGGCGUGUGUGAAGCAGGUCUUUGGAUUGUAAAGCACUUUAAGUUGGGAGGCGUUACCAACAGAAUAAGCACCGGCUAACUUCGUGCCAGCAGCCGCGGUAAUUC